rnacentral:rRNA from 1 species
AUUGAGCGCUGGCGGCAGGCUUAACACAUGCAAGUCGAGCGGAGAGAGGUAGCUUGCUACUGAUCUUAGCGGCGGACGGGUGAGUAAUGCUUAGGAAUCUGCCUAUUAGUGGGGGACAACAUUUCGAAAGGAAUGCUAAUACCGCAUACGUCCUACGGGAGAAAGCAGGGGAUCUUCGGACCUUGCGCUAAUAGAUGAGCCUAAGUCGGAUUAGCUAGUUGGUGGGGUAAAGGCCUACCAAGGCGACGAUCUGUAGCGGGUCUGAGAGGAUGAUCCGCCACACUGGGACUGAGACACGGCCCAGACUCCUACGGGAGGCAGCAGUGGGGAAUAUUGGACAAUGGGCGCAAGCCUGAUCCAGCCAUGCCGCGUGUGUGAAGAAGGCCUUAUGGUUGUAAAGCACUUUAAGCGAGGAGGAGGCUACUUUAGAUAAUACCUAGAGAUAGUGGACGUUACUCGCAGAAUAAGCACCGGCUAACUCUGUACCAGCCGCCGCGGUAA